rnacentral:rRNA from 1 species
AUUGAACGCUGGCGGCAGGCUUAACACAUGCAAGUCGAACGAGUGGCGGACGGGUGAGUAAUGUCUGGGAAACUGCCUGAUGGAGGGGGAUAACUACUGGAAACGGUAGCUAAUACCGCAUACCAUCAGAUGUGCCCAUAUGGGAUUAGCUAGUAGGUGGGGUAAUGGCUCACCUAGGCGACGAUCCCUAGCUGGUCUGAGAGGAUGACCAGCCAGACUGGAACUGAGACACGGUCCAGAGUCCAACGGGAGGCAGCAGUGGGGAAUAUUGGACAAUGGGCGCAAGCCUGAUGCAGCCAUGCCGCGUGUAUGAAGAAGGCCUUGGGGUUGUAAAGCACUUUCAGCGAGGAGGCGUUACUCGCAGAAGAAGCACCGGCUAACUCCGUGCCAGCAGCCGCGGUAAUAC